UUAACAACUUUGGGCAUCUAUGUAUGUCCAUUCAAAUGAUCUUAUAUUGAAGCAAGCUGGUGUGGUUCAAAUGUGUUUCUGAAAAUGAAAUCUAGUUCUGGUCCUAUCUGUCAAAAAGAGGCACCGCCUUAAAUU